rnacentral:rRNA from 1 species
GUGGGGAAUAUUGGACAAUGGGCGAAAGCCUGAUCCAGCCAUGCCGCGUGUGUGAAGAAGGUCUUCGGAUUGUAAAGCACUUUAAGUUGGGAGGAAGGGCAGUAAGUUAAUACCUUGCUGUUUUGACGUUACCGACAGAAUAAGCACCGGCUAACUUCGUGCCAGCAGCCGCGGUAAUACGAAGGGUGCAAGCGUUAAUCGGAAUUACUGGGCGUAAAGCGCGCGUAGGUGGUUCAGCAAGUUGGAGGUGAAAUCCCCGGGCUCAACCUGGGAACUGCCUCCAAAACUGCAUGACUAGAGUACGGGAGAGGGUAGUGGAAUUUCCUGUGUAGCGGUGAAAUGCGUAGAUAUAGGAAGGAACACCAGUGGCGAAGGCGACUACCUGGACUGAUACUGACACUGAGGUGCGAAAGCGUGGGGAGCAAACAGGAUUAGAUACCCCAGUAGUCC